rnacentral:tRNA from 1 species
GAACCCUUGGCGCAGCGGUAGCGCGUGAGAUUCCAGCCAGCCGGUAGGCUUCCUCAAGGUCAUCCGUUCAAAUCGGGUAGGGUUCA